GCUGCAGUGUGGUGAGGUCUGGGUUUGUACAUCACUGCCUGAAGAGUACUCAACCAGCUGUGGGAAGUCCAGGAGGAAGCAGAGAGAGACCUGAGAGCUCAAACAACCCUCAAGAAAGGAGGAAAGAUCGUGAGGAUGAUAAAGGUCUUUUGGCAGACAAACGAGUCCUGUGGGGGGAUCCUGAGGUGUGUUUGGAGAUGGACUUGUGGACCUUCUGCCGUGUCUGAGCCUUUCCCAUCUGAGACACAGGUUUGGAGCUGCUCCGAGGUAUUGGGUCAGUGAAGUUGGUUGGUGUCCAAGUCCCACGAGGGGAGCAACUGGCCUGGAAGGGACUCAGGCA
rnacentral:lncRNA from 1 species